rnacentral:rRNA from 1 species
GAUGAACGCUGGCGGCGUGCCUAAUACAUGCAAGUCGAGCGAACGGACGAGAAGCUUUCUUCUCUGAUGUUAGCGGCGGACGGGUGAGUAACACGUGGAUAACCUACCUAUAAGACUGGGAUAACUUCGGGAAACCGGAGCUAAUACCGGAUAAUAUUUUGAACCGCAUGGUUCAAAAGUGAAAGACGGUCUUGCUGUCACUUAUAGAUGGAUCCGCGCUGCAUUAGCUAGUUGGUAAGGUAACGGCUUACCAAGGCAACGAUGCAUAGCCGACCUGAGAGGGUGAUCAGCCACACUGGAACUGAGACACGGUCCAGACUCCUACGGGAGGCAGCAGUGGGGAAUCUUCCACAAUGGGCGAAAGCCUGACGGAGCAACGCCGCGUGAGUGAUGAAGGUCUUCGGAUCGUAAAACUCUGUUAUUAGGGAAGAACAGAUGUGUAAGUAACUGUGCACAUCUUGACGGUACCUAAUCAGAAAGCCACGGCUAACUACGUG